AACACAUGCAAGUCGAACGGAACUCUUUGGAUCAAGGGCUUCGGCCAAGUGAAUUAGAGUUUAGUGGCGGACGGGGUGAGUAAACGCGUGAGGGAACCCUGCCUUUCAGAGGGGGACAACAGUUGGAAACGACUGCUAAUACCGCAUAACGUAUAGAGAUCGCAUGGUCUUUAUACCAAAGAUUUAUCGCUGUAAGAUGGACUCGCGUCCAAUUAGAUAGUUGGUGGGGUAACGGCCCACCAAGUCGACGAUUGGUAGCCGGACUGAGAGGUUGAACGGCCACAUUGGGACUGAGACACGGACCAGACUCCUACGGGAGGCAGCAGUGGGGAAUAUUGGGCAAGUGGGGGGAACCCUGACCCAGCAACGCCGCGUGAAGGAAGAAGGCCUUCGGGUUGUAAACUUCUUUUACCAGGGACGAAUAUUGACGGUACCUGGAGAAAAAGCAACGGCUAACUACGUG
rnacentral:rRNA from 1 species